UACGGGGGGGGUAAGCGUUGUUCGGAAUUACUGGGCGUAAAGGGCUCGUAGGCGGCCAACUAAGUCAUACGUGAAAUCCCUCAGCUCAACUGGGGAACUGCGUCUGAUACUAGAUGGCUUGAGUGCAGGAGAGGAACGCGGAAUUCCAGGUGUAGCGGUGAAAUGCGUAGAUAUCUGGAGGAACACCGGUGGCGAAGGCGGCAUCCUGGACCGGUAUUGACGCUGAGGCGCGAAAGCCAGGGGAGCAAACGGG
rnacentral:rRNA from 1 species